CGGGCGGUGCCGCUGUCAGCAGCGGUCAAAAGGGAAACAGGUCGAAUGCCUGUGCGAACUCGUCACCGUAUGCGGAUCGAAGCUGUCAUGCAGACGCAGCCACUGAGAAAUCGGGAAGGCGACAGCAACAUAAGCCGCGAGCCGGGAAACCUGCCGAACGC
rnacentral:ncRNA from 1 species